rnacentral:rRNA from 1 species
UACAGAGGGUGCAAGCGUUAUUCGGAAUUAUUGGGCGUAAAGAGCGCGUAGGCGGUUCGACAAGUCUGGUGUGAAAGCCCUGGACUCAAUCCAGGAAGUGCAUUGGAUACUGUCGGACUAGAGGACGGGAGAGGAAAGCGGAAUUCCAGGUGUAGAGGUGAAAUUCGUAGAUAUCUGGAGGAACAACAGUGGCGAAGGCGGCUUUCUGGACCGUUACUGACGCUGAGGCGCGAAAGCGUGGGGAGCAAACAGG